GAGGAAAGUCCGGGCUCUAUUUAUAGAAGUAUUGCUGUAUAAAAUGCAGUGUAGGUAACUAUGAGGAUCGUGCCACAGAAAUAAACCGCCUAUAUAUUUAGGUAAGGGUGCAAUGGUACGGUAAGAGCGUACCAGAAAUAUUAUUAAGAUAUUUGCUAGGUAAACCCCGUAUUUGAGCAAAGUAUUCAAUUAAUUUUAAAAACUUUCUAUAAGUUUUAUUUAAGAAUAUCUAUUAUUUAAAAUUGAUUUAUUUAUAUACUGCUUUAAGUAAUUUAUUACUUUAGAUUAAUAAUUACCCUUUUUUUAGUUUAACUUAAAUAAAGAACAAAACCCGGCUUAU
rnacentral:RNase_P_RNA from 1 species